rnacentral:rRNA from 1 species
ACGAACGCUGGCGGCAUGCCUAACACAUGCAAGUCGAGCGCCCGUAGCAAUACGGGAGCGGCGCACGGGUGAGUAACGCGUGGGAACCUGCCCUUAGGUUCGGAACAACCGCGGGAAACUGCGGCUGAUACCGGAUAAUGUCUUCGGACCAAAGAUUUAUCGCCUUUGGAGGGGCCCGCGUCGGAUUAGGUAGUUGGUGAGGUAACGGCUUACCAAGCCUGCGAUCCGUAGCUGGUCUGAGAGGAUGAUCAGCCACACUGGGACUGAGGCACGGCCCAGACUCCUACGGGAGGCAGCAGUGGGGAGUAUUGGACAAUGGGGGCAACCCUGAUCCAGCAAUGCCGCGUGGGUGAUGAAGGCCUUCGGGUUGUAAAGCCCUUUCAGCGGGGACGAUGAUGACGGUACCCGCAGAAGAAGCCCCGGCUAACUUCGU